GAGACACCCUUAUGGGGCAGGACUUGCUUCAAUGGGGCUUUGGCGCUCACUGAGUCUGCCCCCUGAGUGUGUUUCU
rfam:Myotis lucifugus cont2.14562, whole genome shotgun sequence.